rnacentral:tRNA from 4 species
GCCCCCAUAGCUCAAUGGAUAGAGCAUCUGCCUUCUAAGCAGGGGAUAUAGGUUCGAUUCCUAUUGGGGGUA